UGUCACUCUGCUAAGCGCCUUACAUUUUUAAAGUCUUCUCUCUCUUUGGGCAGACAGCUUAAAAUGGAUGAGACGAGAUGUCUGCAACACCAUUGUCAACAGUGAAUCAGAUUUAAUAUGUCUAAAUUACGUAUUUGUAUACGCGAAGUGUGCCAGUGGAAAAAUGUUAUAUAUUGUGUCAAAUUAAUUUCAUGUACAAGCACAGGCACAAUUGUGUGUUCCCGUGGACUCCGGCUUGCUCGAUAUGACGCAUGGUGUACAAGUAUUAAGUGUGCGAAAGGAGGCUCAUGGCACCUGGAACAUGUUAAGUGCCACUUAUUAAAACGUCAAUCACUCACUCCCGUUUUGUUUGCCCGCCUCGAGAGCUCACCGCAGCCUCCUGUACUACCCAAAGCGACACUCAAAGGUUGACAAUGAGACAAGCGGCGUAUGUUGAAACAGGUUUGUUACUCGUAAUUACGCGUGAAUAAACAGCGCUAAUUGGCCGGCUUUCACGUGUGGCGACAGGCUAUAGGCUACCUUUGUCUCUCAGCCAGUUAUGUAUGAUGGCUGUAGGCGGAUUUGUGGCGCUGGCACUUGACUGGAAGCAUAACGCUACCUAAAUUCAUCGAUUUGUAAUUCACUUUUUAGCUGAAAAGAAACAGGAAGUAAGGUAAAUUUUAAUACUGAAGAUUAUUCGUAGAGGUAUAUAGUUCACAAAUUGAAGACCUUGAUUUAAGGAACAACGAUAACACAUCCUAUGUUCCCUGAAAGUAAAGCAAACGACUGACGGCAGACGGGGAGUCACUUCCUAACUCCACCACUAAUGAAACCAACAACGACAAAAAUAAACACAACAAAAACGACAACAGCCACCCACAUUUCCCGGCACACAAAAAGAGUGACCAGUGACCAACUAAUUGAGAAUUCGGACCAACAUGCGAACGAGGUCACAUGGCGACGCUGCCCCAGACACAGUGUUAGGGGAAAAUUUGUGAAAUUUCGGACAACAUUAUUCACCUCACCCUCAAAACAACCUGUGGGCGUAGUUGGUCUAUGUGGACAGCUGUUUUAGUGCUCCAAAUCGUUUAGUUUUAAUUAACACAUUUUCAAGUUUUCUUUGCGAGGCACACAAAUAUCCAGAAUUCUAUUUGGUGGGGAACUAGAAAUGUGGGUUGAUAGGGAUAUGGAUAAGGAUAUAUGGAUACUUGAGCCAGAUGGAAUCCAAUUUCCACUGUCUUGCAAAUGUCUUGAACUGACUCCUUUCAUAUCUGUAUUCUAUUGCUCGAGCUUCAAUCUCUAGCACCAAAUAGAGUAAACUGUUCAAAUAUUUAUGACCUCAGGAAAUUCCAAAUUCAGACACAAAAUCAUUUUCUAUUCAUUUCAUUGCACAUUCGGAACCCACUCUGAAAAGAGUUGCCCCAAGCCAUCAGCGAACUAGUAGCGCCAAAAUCUGUUAUGCAGAAAGUUACUAAAAUAAAUGUUUAUUUUUAGAAUUUGUUUGUAUGUACAAAUAUCUCUGCAAUGGAACACCAAAGUGCACUUAGAGAGAGAGAGACUUGAGGCAAUGCCAAUUUCCUUACAGUCCCUUGGAUAAUGCCACGAGCAUCCAUAGCCCACAAGAACACGCGUGAAUCAGGGAUCCUUCAGCACUUUGCAUAUGUGGGGCCUUAUAUGAAAGAUGGUUUUUCUGUGUGUUUGCUGUUCUUUUAUCAUAAAAAUGCAUUGUUUAAACCUUUUGGCGUGGACCUCAAUCCACAAAUUUUCACAAAUUAAAUGAAACCUUGCCUAUUUAAUUGUCAAGGGAAGAUCGAUUUCCACUUCACCUGAUUGCAGCCAUCGUUUUCGUUUGCCUUUGACGCAGUCUGAUUUUCCGAGUAAUUGCUGAUUUAAAAACCAAAUUGAAAGGCAAGAGACAGACACGAUGUCAGUCUGUCAUUAUUCGUUUAUGGAUACUUUUGUCAUGAAGUUCAUGUGGGAAACGGCUGAUAUAUUUUACUACCCCUAUCAGUUGACACCUUGCCCAAGAAAAGCUUGCAGUAAUUUCUAGGGCCAAACCACACACUGUGCACACUAUAACGUUCACGGACGAUGGAGUGUCCCUCAGCAGGUGUAUAAUAUUUCACCCACAAGGGGGCAUAAAGUAAGAAUAAACUGACCACACUUACAGCCACAUAAAUAUCUGGCCAUCAACGCUGGCACUUGGCGCUGCGGGAGCACCUUACAGAGAGAGAAAAUAAGCUUAAAAACAUUGGGAAAAACACAUUUAUUUUUCAAGGUACACCAGAAGACCUGGUUUUUCUCUUUGAUGUCCAUGGAGUGAGCGCAGUUUGUGAAAUUGCAUUGGGAAUUAUCGCAGCAGCCAGCGAAUAAAUUUCGCUGUGAGCCUGUGAGGAAAGCGUGAAACUAGUUCAGCAAAAUCGCUUAAACCCAAUAUAAAAGUCUUUGCGCACUAUUAAAGUAUUUGCCUAAAUCCUUGGCACCGAAAUGGAAAACAGUCUGAGAUCCUUUAGCAUCCUAUUCUGGUUACUGGAAAUAUUUUCCACACUUCACAUGACAUACCCAUGCCUGGUUGGGGCUCAACUAUUAGCAUAUUUCUGCCAUGCGGCUGUCCCUUUAAAAUGCGGAAAUGUAUCCCAGAUUGAGACCAAAAUCCCGGUUACUUUCAAGCCAUUGAUUAUGCGUGCUUGUGCCAGAUUUUGUACUCCCCUCUGCGAUACAAACUAGAUGGAUUUUCGUGAGUUGCAAUUCCAUUUGUGAGAUGUUCGUGUGACGAAUGCGCGUGACACAAGUGGGAGCAUAUUUAUCCCGGUUAUGUUCACCAAUUUAUUCAUGUCAAAAACGUGAACUGAAACUACAAACUAUUGUGCAACAGUCCAAACUCCCUUGAGAUGGAGGGCGGACUUUGAGCAGACACUUCCCCUGCAGAGAUUUUCAUCUGUUUCUGGUUGGAGUUCUGGGGGGAUACGCCGAAAAAAAAAACACACACACCCACCGAAUCACGUUGAGGAACCCCAUUCAAAUUCAGAAACUUCUGCUGCCCGUCUGUUGAUUUGCAAUUAAAAUAUAUCGCAAUCGCAGGCAUUGCAUGUGAUUAAUCAAUGGUUUUAUUGGAAUCAUCGUCUAAUUAUUCACUAAUCAAAGUCAGCGCUUUAUUGGCAGCUGUGUCCUUCGCCCAUCGUAACGCUUUCCUUUCGUUAUUUUCUAUGGUUUUUUUCCUCGAUUUUCUCCCUGCUUGAAUCACAAAGGAUUCAAUCAAAUAUGCUGCUAAUCAGGCGAAAGAAUUGUUGCGCAAUCUGCAGUUAAACGUCGGAUUUCGUAUCCACCAUUCAAAGCCCUCGAGAUGUCGAAAGUCAAACGAUUAACAAUUAAAUAUGCAAAUUGUCUCUCUCUCUUCUCUCCUGCUGUUGAACCAUGUUCAAUUUAUUCUCCUUUUCGCGGCUCAUUAUCCAAAUUCUAAUGGAGGACAGCACUUUUCUCAAUGCAAUUUAAUUAGCGCUGAAUAUUUGCCUUGAAGCAAAAAAAGGAUUUGCAGCAGCUGCUUAAAUUCCCACUGAAGAUUUUUCCACUUUUCUUAUAAUUCUACUGAAGCAAGUGGCUGAAAGAGAGGAAUUGAAUUGAUCACAUUGUAAUUAAAUACCCUUUUAAAUGCUUUCAUUGAGUUUUCAGCUACACUUUUAGUUUUUGAUUACUGCUGGCAAUCCAAGGCCUAACCUAACAAUUUGGGGUAACAUGACAGCGGAUUAACUUGAAUUUAAAAUGAGUUCAGCAAAGAGACCUCAAGCUGAGGUCUUCAUUUUAUUGAUUCCAUCUAAAGUAAAUCUCAUUAUAAUUAAGCAAAAGUUGUAAUAAAUGCGGAAUCAUACGCUCCACGCAGGUGGAGAUUCUGCCAACCCUUAUGGAAAGUGACACGAGAGGGGCUCACAUUCAGGAGCAGCAGCCGUUGCCACCGCACGAGCUUUGCUGAUUUUUGCGGCUUUAACUUGGAGCCGUAAAGUUAUGUCCAACGUGGUGCGGGUAUGAUUAGCCAGGCUGUUCCUGUUCCUGCUAGAAUUCCAGAUUUGUUUAUGGGGCCCGCUUAAGACAAAUGUGGCGCUGAGUGUGGACUUAUCCACAUAAAUAAAUUCAUAAAUGUAGAGCCGCCAAGCCCGCAGAGAGACUUCCAAGAGCAGUUCGAAUGAACAGAGAACUUUAUGGUGGUGAUGGGUAAUUUAUUUGCUGGUUUUUUCCCCAUGAUGGUGUCGAUUGAAUAUUGCAGCACGUGUACGGCUGGUUUUUUAUGUCAUAGAGUGAAGAUUUAUAGAUUUUCAGCAGAAAGAAGGUUUACCUUUAACACAAUAGAAACUUUGCUUCAUUUUUAAAAUGGUUGAGUGCCGUGCCACUUGGAUGUUUUUUUAUUUGACUAGACAAAGCUUUCAUCCAUUUACAUCAAAGAAAAGUAAAUUGCCUGCAGUUCCUCUCACUUACUCCGAGUCCAAUAAAGCAAUUUGGUAUUGUCAAUUUGGUAAGGCCUUUUAUCGAGUGUAUAUAAAUGGAUUAUGCUUGAGCCUGCCUGCUGGUGGAAUAUUUUACUAGAGAAGUUUUACGCUUCGCUCAACCCCAAAGCGGAUGUUGGCAAGGGAAAGUCCUGAUAGGCAGCUAUGAAGCCAUCCAAGGAACUUAUAUUUAUGGUGAUUUUCUAUUAAUAAACCUUAAGCUGCUUGGCCACUGAAAGAUACCUUCAGCUGAGAGGACAGAGAUGCCAGAGAUUCGCUUAAAAUGCCAUACACAAUCCUCUGUACUGACCCAACCAAAGUUCAGAGCCCACUUAGCCGCUCCUUGAAGAGUUAUGUGCCAGUACACUAAGUCGUAAAAUCUGUGCGCACAUAAAACUUCAGCAAACACAGCUGGAAGUUUAUUUUUUUUGGCUGUAAAACUUUGAGCUGAAAUAAAAGGGUCAACAUUGUGAGAUUCUGUUUGGAGACGAACCCCGUUUCAUUCUGAACUACAUCUUACUUGGCGCAGAACAAACACACUUGAGUGUAACAUGAUAUGUUGACAUGUGUGGGUGAGUGCCUAAUUCAAUAGCAAUCCCAUGUAUUUAAAGUGCUUUGGUGCAUAAAGCUGGCGCUGGGGCGUCACGACCAUGAUUCAACCUCGCUCUAAGUGUCAAUCAUGCUGGAUUAAGCAAUUGAAAUUGGAUUAGACAAGGACUAACGUUAGAUACGAUUUUUAAACAAAGUCGCCGACAAAACGUUUCCAAGGAUUUUAGAGCUAAAAACUCACUGGAGGCAGGCAAAUAAAUAAAUGCUGCACAUUCUGUAAAUUAUUGCCUAGCCAGAAAGUACUUCACAGCUGCAACCACAUAAAUCGAAAAGCCUUCAGGGGCCUUCGUCCAAGAUGUUCGACCGCAGAAAUAAAAGUAAACAAAGUGAGUGGAAACUUGUGCACUUUGAUCAACGUUUCUAACGUUUCGCAUGUGAAAGCAUUUAAAAAGUAGUUGAACAACAAAUUUAUCUUUCCAACACAAAUAAAAUAAAAGUAAAACAAGUUAUGGAAGCUGCAAUUGACAUUGUGGCUAGCCCACGUAUCGUUAGACAUAAGAGAGCAAACAUUUUCGCAGAUAUUGAGUUAAUUUAUAGGAGCCAGAUCAGCGGCACUCAUAGUCUGGCUGGAUAAACCCUGUGGGAACAUAUUCCAACAUCAAGGCUACAAUUAACUUCAAGCACACAGAAUAUCAUUAAUAUAAAAUUCGGCCAGGCGUGGCACAUAAGCCCCAUGGCAACAGAGGGUCGAGCUUGUCUAAUAAAUGAAUUAAAUUUCUCCGCAAACUUUAAAAACAGCAGCAGCAGAAAACGGCAAAGCCAGCGACCGCUGCACAUAAUAAAAUGGGGUAAGAAUAUAAAAUUUAAGCUACUACUUAAAACUUUUGUCUUUGCCAUGGAAAGUUUUCCCAAUGACCUAAAAAGUGCUGGGCCAAGGGCCAAUGAAUAUGUGGGUGUCUCCGCUUGAGUGUCAAAUGCUGCUAACCCACAUAAAAAGUUCGAGAAAAUGAAAAUUUCAAAUUGAUUUCGUUAAUUUGUUGCUGGAACUUCUUCCCCGGGCCAAGACAUAUUUUCGCAUUUAAAUACGGAUUUUUUCAAGCUCAAACCCCUGCCAUGGUCACAUUUUCUUAGUCAUAAACAUUUUUCACAGCCAAAAGAGGACAAACAAAGGCAGGGCGAGAACAUUGCCAGACAUUUGACAAAGCAUCUGAGUAAACAAAGAUAUCAUUUACCAUGGGAGGACUGAGAUAUUAUACGAAGUCAUUUACCAUUCUCGCCCUGUUUUUCUGGAACUCGCCCACAUACCCAUCAGCGAGAUGGCACACUUCUAGCUGUCACACAGCAUAUGAGACUGAGUAAUUAAAGAAAUGCGGUGGCGGUGUGCUGUUAACAUGACAGCCAAUUAGUCGCCUCGACUAACUACAAAUGAGGGUGCGAGUAGAACAAAUUAAAUCACUAAAAUGUAGUUCGUACUCUUGGAAAUGAAAUGCGCCAUGAGAUUUUAUAUGUGGCUGAGUGUUUAAAAUUAUCUUUAUACAUAUGUAUGUACAUAUAAUAGAGUUCCUUUUUGCAAUAUUUCCAUUUCCAAAUCCGUUAUUAGUGAAAUUCGGAAUAAUUUCCCACUACAUCCAGGUACUCCCUUACAUUUGCAUAGAAACGAGUCGCUGUAGCACAUGUUCGCUUGGAACAUCGAGCAUGCUUGAUGGCAACACUCCCCAUCAGGAAAAUUCCCUCUUUCAUAACAUUCUUGGAGCUCUGGUCUCUGUUAACGGUUUGCAUGCUGCAAGCAUCUUUAACAUGUCUACCGAUGAGGGUCCGCACUUCAGUUUGUCGUGAAAUCUGUAAGACUACGGUUUAGCGGCGGAUAAAUCAGUAAAUUAUUUAGUAAUACACUUAUGUAAAUAUUUAACAAGUAUAAAAAUAUAACACAAAAGGAAUAUGUAAUAGAACAAGGAUUUAACAACACCAAAAAGUGAGAAUUACAUUUUCUGUAUGUGACUAAAUUUUAGUGAGAAAUUAUAAAACAAAUCGGUUGCAAUUUUUUGUUGAAAAUGUUUCAAAUGUACAAAAACAAUACGUGACGUUUUUCCCGCUCUAGGCUAAUUUCAAUAUACCAAAGCCAUCUGCACCAAUCCCAAAUUUGUCAAUUGUCUCAGCGAUGCCAAAACACUUUUAGACUUUAAACUGAUUUUCUGGAAGGAUUUUUUUACGGCUACCAUUUCUUUUUGUUACAGAUUUUUAUGUUAUAAAAAAGGAGUAGAAAAGUAUGCUGAACUGAGCUGCGGAAGCUUCGAUCAUACACAACGUUUAUAUGCACGAUUUUAAAAUUUGAGUCCUGCCCAAUUGGGGAGACAAACAUACUUUGCUCACUCGCUGCCACUCUUUCCUUCUAUCCCUUCUUUACAUUCCAUUACUCAUACUACACUUCUGCUCUCUUUUAUGUGUGCAGUUUACCAAAUGGCCACAUACAAAAGGAGGCCUUCGAUCGAUGAAAGCGGCCCAGGAUCUAGAGGAGUGUUCGAGCACUUUGGUCGGUAACUACAAAACCCGGCGAAGCGGGUAAGUAAAACACGCGAAAGUCAACCCAACUUGGUUUUUUUCCUCCCCUGCCUUUUGUAUGUGCCAUAUGAGUGUUUGGAUCUUUCCAUUUUAUUUUGUAUUCUUUUCUAUUCUGGGUAUUUUAUUGAAUUUUUUCACAUUUUUCAUCAGCAGACGGUGCCGUAGGGCGCGCUUUUGAGGGCUAUUUUGACCUUAAGUUUUUUAGUGGAUGGAAAAAGCUUUCAGCCUCGGGCUGUCGCUGCAGGACUUGUGUAGCUUCUUGUUUGUUUCACUUUUCUCAGUUUUGUGUUUAAAGUUUUAGUAAGGAAGAGCACACAAAACCAAAAAAUUAUAAUUCAAGUUUUGAAACCCAUUAAUCCACUCCCAUUUAUCUUUCUAUAACCCUAUUAUUCCACAGAUUUGUGUCUAGUAAAUUGAAAUUAAUACCCGCAAUAAAUCCACAGGCAGACACUCUAUGACCAAAAUUGUUUCAUCAAUUUGGACCAUCUUAACCACCAGCCACCACAAGGAACCGUUUUUCGUAGAACAAUUAAUUUUCGCACUGUUUCCUCAACCUUAACUAUUCCUUUUUGGGGAGAAUAAAUUAAAAAAUAGACAUGUAGGACAUUUUCCUCAUGCAAUUUAUUUCGUAGAUAAAACACAUAUUAUAAUAUUUUAUUCUAAUGAAGGCCUUCCUGUCAAGUUUUUCUAAAUAAGCCAGUCAAAAUAUUUGCAUACUUGAUUGUACGCUAGAAACUUAAAUGGGGACCAAACAAAAUAUACAAGAAUAUUUUAAACAUUGUAUUAGUGGACGAAAUCUGCACAACAGAACCAAAUCAAGAUAUUACAAUAAGUACAGGAACACAUAGAAUUCAAGGAAUCACGAAAAAGUUUGGCUGGAUUAAAUUAUGAAUACAAAAUAGAGAAGAUUUGAAAAAUCUAUGAAUGGACCUAGUUUGAGAGAAAAUGUUUAUCUUAAAAUGCAAAAGGAAUUUACAUACACAACAAAGCAAAAGUUAUAUUCAAAUCUAAAAUUAAUUGUUAGUGGUCUAAAUGCAGGAUCCGGCUUCUACGGAUGCCAGGACCAACAAGUUCAAGGAAUUACACACAAGCAUCCACAACAGUCACACAAACAUCCUUGGCAUGGCGAAUUUCAAUGCAACUAAUUUAUAUAAUUUGUGUGGGUCUGCUCUAUGCACCUGUAUGUAAUUUCAAGUUUGCUCAUUAGGCUUUAGAUAUGGUAAUUUGAGCGGCAGGACCAUUGGUAGGAAGCCAAACCAAAUCCAUAUGAACAAUUUAUUAGGGUUCAUGCUCCAGUCUGGCCCAACAGCUGGCACAAUUAUCCGUAGUUUAAUGGCAAUGCAAAAUUAUUGUACCUAACUGUCAACUACACACGAAAUACAUAUACAUACAUAUGUACAUAUGUGUUUACAAUCGUUCUUUCGUCUCUUUAUCUCGCCUCUUUCUUUCUUGUCUCUGCUCUGCUGCCGCUCUCUCGCGCGCCAUCACAGCAUUGCUGCCCGCUGUCGCUGUCGCUGUCGCUCACACUAGGGCACGGGCAAUUCGGCCCGCCUGCCCUCCUCUGUCGACGCAUAUACAUACAUACAUUGCUCAAUUGCUGACAUACAAAUCGCGGCCUGUGUAUGAAUCUCGCCUCUCUUUCAGCCUUCCUUAUCGCUUUCUCGAUCUGUCGCUCUCGUUUGCAUGGGCAAUGCUGCCCGUCUGCCCUUCCUGCACAUCGUCGCCGUGAAAAAGCUCGCUAGCUUAACAAUUCCCGUAUGUUCAGUGUCUGAAAUCGAGAUGUUUUCUCACCCACUCCUGACAACUUCCACCGUACAGUAUGCCAAAAUAUGAUUUUGGUAUGGAAUAAGAAAUCAAGACACAAGCUGAUAGCAGUUUGUAAAUGUAAAUAAUUUUGCAAACCUUUUUGGCAAUUUUCCAUUCACAUAUAUUUUAUUUGAGUAGCUCCCAGUCUUUUAACUGCUCGUUACACACCAAGACUACUGGUAUUUUAUGGUACCCUACCUUGUUUGCACACCGUAAAACUAAGUUCCAAAGCUGAAAAAAACCAAACCAAACUGAAACAAACCGAACAGAACCGAGCCGCCUCACAAAUCGUCAGACCCCAGAGAAGGGGAGUCCUUUCGAACAAAAACACACACAAAAAAGUGCUAAAGACUCUGCCAAGCAGAACCAUAGUUUUUGCUGUUCCAUAGCCAGAUGCAACAUUUCUUUUACUUUACCUGGUGCUGAGUGGGUAGAUAUUCUUGUGGCAAUGGCUGUGCUGUCGGCACUACUUGAAGAGAAUUUUCAGGGCAUAUUCCCUGAUUGGGAAUGGCAUUUUUUCCCCCAAGCACAGUAUAUAAUCGCAAAUUGUAUAAGCUGACUAGGAGGCAUAGAGAUAGAAUAGAGGAUGGGGCAUUUUGUGGCCAGCCCAGCGCCCAUCUGUUGACCAAACCAGACUGCUUCCCAUUCUACGCUCCACUCCAUUGCACUGUAGUUCCUUCACCACUUUCACGCAGAGAAAAAACAUAUAUUUUCUUUUUAACUUUAUUAAAUUUACCUGUAUGCUAAAGGUAAAUAAAAGCGCCGACCCUCUUGUCAGCACUUGACCGCCAGCCAACCCGUUCCCAAAUGAGUUUCGGUUGAAGUUGUUCUACUUGAAGGGGUUUUGGGAGUUUACCACUGGUUUUUUUGUAUACAAAAUAUAUUUUUUUGUAUUUUUGGAUCUCUAGCUGUUAUCAUUGAACAUUGAACAUUGCUGGCAUUUUGGACCUUUGGCCCUGGCCGCUGUCUUGAUGCAGAGAAUCUCACGUUGGAAAAGGUAAAUUUUUGCACAAAGUAAAAUCACUUUUAGUCUAUUAACUAAAAUAAUUUCAGAUUUGGUUACAAUGGACAAUUUUAAUCUCGAAGAAGCUGUUCAAGCAUAAAGCAGAAGCCCGAGCUUGAAUUAGAGAAGGAAAAAUAUUAAAAGAAAUGUGAUAACGAAUAAAGAGCUUUAUUUUAAAAUAAGAAAGAAGUAUC
rnacentral:lncRNA from 1 species